AUGCGAUAAGUAAUGUGAAUUGCAGAAUUCAGUGAAUCAUCGAAUCUUUGAACGCACCUUGCGCUCCCUGGUAUUCCGGGGAGCAUGCCUGUUUGAGUGUCAUGGUAUUCUCAACCUUCCUUAGCUUUGUUGUUAUCGAAGGCUUGGACUUGGAGGCUUGUGCUGGCUUCUCCUUUUGAAGUCGGCUCCUCUUAAAUGUAUUAGUGCGAGUGUAACAGAUCGCUUCGGUGUGAUAAUUAUCUGCGCCGUAGUCGUGAAGUAACAUAAGCUUGCGCUUCCAACCGUCCUUCAGCUGGACAACUUAUACUCUGACAUCUGACCUCAAAUCAGGUAGGACUACCCGCUGAACUUAAGCAUAU
rnacentral:rRNA from 1 species